GAUGAACGCUGGCGGCGUGCCUAAUACAUGCAAGUCGAGCGAACAGACGAGGAGCUUGCUCCUCUGACGUUAGCGGCGGACGGGUGAGUAACACGUGGAUAACCUACCUAUAAGACUGGGAUAACUUCGGGAAACCGGAGCUAAUACCGGAUAAUAUAUUGAACCGCAUGGUUCAAUAGUGAAAGACGGUUUUGCUGUCACUUAUAGAUGGAUCCGCGCCGCAUUAGCUAGUUGGUAAGGUAACGGCUUACCAAGGCGACGAUGCGUAGCCGACCUGAGAGGGUGAUCGGCCACGCUGGAACUGAGACACGGUCCAGACUCCUACGGGAGGCAGCAGUAGAGAAUCUUCCGCAAUGGGCGAAAGCCUGACGAGGCAACGCCGCGUGAGUGAUGAAGGUCUUCGGAUCGUAAAACUCUGUUAUUAGGGAAGAACAAAUGUGUAAGUAACUAUGCACGUCUUGACGGUACCUAAUCAGAAAGCCACGGCUAACUACGUG
rnacentral:rRNA from 1 species